rnacentral:rRNA from 1 species
CAAUGGGCGAAAGCCUGACGCAGCGACGCCGCGUGGAGGAAGACGGCCUUCGGGUUGUAAACUCCUGUCAGAGGUGAAGAAUGCCCGCAAGGGUUUGACGGUAACUUCAGAGGAAGCCCCGGCUAACUACGUGCCAGCAGCCGCGGUAAUACGUAGGGGGCGAGCGUUGCUCGGAAUUACUGGGCGUAAAGGGUGUGUAGGCGGCCGGUUAAGUCGAAGAUGAAAUCCCGAGGCUCAACUUCGGAAUGGUCUUCGAUACUGAUCGGCUUGAGGCUGGUUGAGGAGAGCGGAAUUCCCGGUGGAGCGGUGAAAUGCGUAGAUAUCGGGAGGAACACCAGAGGCGAAGGCGGCUCUCUAAACUAGUCCUGACGCUGAGGCGCGAAAGCCAAGGUAGCAAAAGGGAUUAGAUACCCCUGUAGUC